rnacentral:rRNA from 1 species
GAUGAACGCUAGCGGCAGGCUUAACACAUGCAAGUCGAGGGGCAGCGUGAGGGUUAGCAAUAACCCUUGACGGCGACCGGCGCAAGGGUGCGUAACGCGUGAGCAACUUGCCCUUAUCAGGGGGAUAACCGGUGGAAACGCCGACUAAUACCCCAUGGCAUUGGUUGAGGCAUCUCCAUCCAAUUAAAGAGUUUUCGGAUAAGGAUAGGCUCGCGUGACAUUAGCUAGACGGCGGGUAACGGCUCACCGUGGCUACGAUGUCUAGGGGUUCUGAGAGGAAGGUCCCCCANACUGGAACUGAGACACGGUCCAGACUCCUACGGGAGGCAGCAGUGAGGAAUAGUUGGUCAAUGGGCGAGAGCCUGAACCAGCCAAGUCGCGUGAGGGAUAGACGGUACUAAGUAUUGUAAACCUCUUU